rnacentral:rRNA from 1 species
GGGGAAUCUUGCACAAUGGGCGAAAGCCUGAUGCAGCGACGCCGCGUGCGGGACGAAGGCCUUCGGGUCGUAAACCGCUUUCAGCAGGGACGAGGCCGCGAGGUGACGGUACCUGCAGAAGAAGCCCCGGCUAACUACGUGCCAGCAGCCGCGGUAAUACGUAGGGAGCGAGCGUUAUCCGGAUUUAUUGGGCGUAAAGCGCGCGUAGGCGGCUUAUCAAGCAAGAUUUUAAACCUGAGGGCUCAACCCCCAGUCGGAUCUUGAACUGGUAGGCUCGAGUUUGGUAGAGGAAGACGGAAUUCCCAGUGUAGCGGUGAAAUGCGCAGAUAUUGGGAAGAACACCGAUGGCGAAGGCAGUCUUCUGGGCCAUAACUGACGCUGAGGUGCGAAAGCUAGGGGAGCGAACA